AAAGGCCAAUCAAACCGGGAGAUAGCUGGUUCUCCCCGAAAGCUAUUUAGGUAGCGCCUCGUGAAUUCAUCUCCGGGGGUAGAGCACUGUUUCGGCAAGGGGGUCAUCCCGACUUACCAACCCGAUGCAAACUGCGAAUACCGGAGAAUGUUAUCACGGGAGACACACGGCGGGUGCUAACGUCCGUCGUGAAGAGGGAAACAACCCAGACCGCCAGCUAAGGUCCCAAAGUCAUGGUUAAGUGGGAAACGAUGUGGGAAGGCCCAGACAGCCAGGAUGUUGGCUUAGAAGCAGCCAUCAUUUAAAGAAAGCGUAAUAGCUCACUGGUCGAGUCGGCCUGCGCGGAAGAUGUAACGGGGCUAAACCAUGCACCGAAGCUGCGGCAGCGACGCUGAUGCGUUGUUGGGUAGGGGAGCGUUCUGUAAGCCUGUGAAGGUGUGCUGUGAGGCAUGCUGGAGGUAUCAGAAGUGCGAAUGCUGACAUAAGUAACGAUAAAGCGGGUGAAAAGCCCGCUCGCCGGAAGACCAAGGGUUCCUGUCCAACGUUAAUCGGGGCAGGGUGAGUCGACCCCUAAGGCGAGGCCGAAAGGCGUAGUCGAUGGGAAACAGGUUAAUAUUCCUGUACUUGGUGUUACUGCGAAGGGGGGACGGAGAAGGCUAUGUUGGCCGGGCGACGGUUGUCCCGGUUUAAGCGUGUAGGCUGGUUUUCCAGGCAAAUCCGGAAAAUCAAGGCUGAGGCGUGAUGACGAGGCACUACGGUGCUGAAGCAACAAAUGCCCUGCUUCCAGGAAAAGCCUCUAAGCAUCAGGUAACAUCAAAUCGUACCCCAAACCGACACAGGUGGUCAGGUAGAGAAUACCAAGGCGCUUGAGAGAACUCGGGUGAAGGAACUAGGCAAAAUGGUGCCGUAACUUCGGGAGAAGG
rnacentral:rRNA from 1 species